GGAGAGGUGGCCGAGUGGCUGAAGGCGGCGGUUUGCUAAACCGUUUCACGGUCAAAAGCUGUGACCAGGGUUCGAAUCCCUGCCUCUCCGCCA
rnacentral:tRNA from 1 species